rnacentral:rRNA from 1 species
AGCUCUGCUAGCGUAUAUUAAAGUUGUUGCAGUUAAAAAGCUUGUAUUUGAAUUUCCGGUAGGAGUAAUUUUUCCAUCACUAUGUGGUGGUAAGUGAUUGUCUCUGGCCAUCCUCGGAAAAAUCUCACAUGGCAUUAGGUUGUCAAGUAAGCUGUUCCCAUUGUUUACUGUGAAAAAAAAUGAGUGUUCAAAGCAGGCUUAUGCCAUUGAAUAUAUUAGCAUGGAAUAAUUCAAUAGAAUCUUGGUACUAUUUUGUUUGUUUGCGCACCAGGAUAAUGAUUAAUAGGGACAGUUGGAGGUAUUCAUAUUUAAUUGUCAGAGUUGAAAUUGUUGGAUUCGUGGAAGACAACUUACUGCAAAAGCAUUUACCAAGAAUAUUUUCA